rnacentral:rRNA from 1 species
GAUGAACGUUGGCGGCGUGCCUAAUACAUGCAAGUCGAACGGAGAUUGUAGCAAUACGGUCUCAGUGGCGAACGGGUGAGUAACGCGUUGGUGACCUGCCCCGAAGUGUGGAAUAACAGAUCGAAAGAGCUGCUAAUACCGCAUAAUAUCCAGAGGACUAGAUGCCUUUGGAUUAAAGGAUUUAUUCGCUUCGGGAGGGGCCUGCGUCCCAUCAGCUAGUUGGUAAGGUAAAGGCUUACCAAGGCUAUGACGGGUAGGGGACCUGAGAGGGUGGCCCCCCACAACGGAACUGAAACACGGUCCAUACACCUACGGGUGGCAGCAGUAGGGAAUAUUAGUAAUGGGCGAAAGCCUGAACUAGCAACGCCGCGUGUGCGAAGAAGGCCUUCGGGUUGUAAAGCACUUUUGUAGAGGAUGAGGAAGGGACGGUACGUCUCAGAAUAAGUCUCGGCUAACUACGUGCCAGCAGCCGCGGUAACGUACGUAGCGUG